rnacentral:rRNA from 2 species
GGGGGGAGCAAGCGUUGUUCGGAUUUACUGGGCGUAAAGGGCGCGUAGGCGGUCAGCACAAGUCAGUUGUGAAAUCUCCGAGCUUAACUCGGAAAGGUCAACUGAUACUGUGCGACUAGAGUGCAGAAGGGGCAACUGGAAUUCUCGGUGUAGCGGUGAAAUGCGUAGAUAUCGAGAGGAACACCUGCGGCGAAGGCGGGUUGCUGGGCUGACACUGACGCUGAGGCGCGAAAGCUAGGGGAGCGAACGGGAUUAGAUACCCCGGUAGUCCUAGCCUUAAACGAUGAAUGCUUGGUGUCUGGGGUUAUAUAGUCCCCGGGUGCCGUCGCUAACGCUUUAAGCAUUCCGCCUGGGGAGUACGGUCGCAAGACUG